rnacentral:rRNA from 1 species
CGGACGGGGUGAGUAAUGUCUGGGAAACUGCCCGAUGGAGGGGGAUAACUACUGGAAACGGUAGCUAAUACCGCAUAACGUCGCAAGACCAAAGAGGGGGACCUUAGGGCCUCUUGCCAUCGGAUGUGCCCAGAUGGGAUUAGCUAGUAGGUGGGGUAAUGGCUCACCUAGGCGACGAUCCCUAGCUGGUCUGAGAGGAUGACCAGCCACACUGGAACUGAGACACGGUCCAG